AUUGAUACAUUGCUAUUUGCUAAUGUCAAUGUGCAGAACAAUGCACGCUGCAACAGUUCCAAUUCACCCUCUUGUGAUUGCAGGCUGGUGUGGCUUAACCAUACAAGCUUUUAACAUGCUUCCAGUGGGGUGCCUUGAUGGUGGAAGAGCAGUGCAGGGUGCUUUUGGAAAAAGUGCACUAGUUGGCUUUGGUUUAACCACUUACACGUUGCUUGGAUUAGGAGUGGUAUGUCUGAUC